GUAGUCAUAUGCUUGUCUCAAAGCUUAAGCCAUGCAAGUCUCAGUACAGACUAUAUUAAAGUGAAACCGCAAAAGGCUCAGUAAACCAGUUUUAAUUUACUAGAGUUAACUUGACUGUGCUUGGAUAACUGUGGUAAUUCUAGAGCUAAUACAUGCAACAAAGCCGUGACCAUUCGUGGUCAGGGCGCUUUUAUUAGACCAAGACCAAUCGCCCGGCCAGUCCGGGCGUUAAGUUGAGGAACCUAGAUAACACAGCAGAUCGCAUGGUCUUUGUACCGGCGACCUAUCUUUCAAAUGCCUGACUUAUCAACUGACGAUGGUAGACUCUGUGUCUACCAUGGCUGUUACGGGUAACGGGGAAUCAGGGUUCGAUUCCGGAGAGGGAGCCUGAGAAACGGCUACCACAUCCAAGGAAGGCAGCAGGCACGCAAAUUACCCACUCCCGGAACGGGGAGGUAGUGACAAAAAAUAACGAUACGGGACUCGAUAUGAGGCCUCGUAAUCGGAAUGAGUACACUCUAAAUCCUUUAACAAAAAUCUAUUGGAGGGCAAGUCUGGUGCCAGCAGCCGCGGUAAUUCCAGCUCCAAUAGCGUAUAUUAAAGUUGUUGCGGUUAAAAAGCUCGUAGUUGGUUCUGCGUCCCGCGCUGUCGGUACACCGUUUGUCGGUGACACUGGCAUGACGCGGGAUGUCCUGUCGGUGGCGGCGGAGACCAUAUCGCCGUCGGCUAACACCGCGGCGUGUUGGCCUUCUGUCGCCGGCUUUAUCCUACCGCGGUGCUCUUCACUGAGUGUCGAGGUAGGCCGACACGUUUACUUUGAACAAAUUAGAGUGCUUAAAGCAGGCAAAAAUCUCUGCCAGAAUAGUGGUGCAUGGAAUAAUGGAACAGGACCUUGGUUCUAUUCUGUUGGUCUCCGGAACACAAGGUAAUGAUCAAUGUGGACAGGCGGGGGGCAUUCGUAUUGCGGCGUUAGAGGUGAAAUUCUUGGAUCGUCGCAAGACGCACUAGAGCGAAAGCAAUUGCCAAGUAUGUCUUAAUUGAUCAAGAACGAAAGUUAGAGGUUCGAAGGCGAUCA
rnacentral:rRNA from 1 species